CCGAACCUGCCUCUUCCCCGACACCUUCUUCCCCUCUUCGUCCGCUGCUCACCUCCGCCCCCCUCUGCGCGCCGAGCCACCAGCGCCGAUUCACUCUCCCUCGCCCGAGCACGCCGCAGCCGGCAUUCUCCUCUCCUCGCACGAGCAUCCGACCCCUUUCUUCCUUCUCCCUCAUGCGAACAAUAGCGGGUGAUCUUCUUCUCCUCCUCACGCGAGCAGCAAAGCCGUCGAUCCUCAUCUCUUCGAGUUGUGCCCUAAUUGAUGCGGCAAGUAUCUUCCUUAGUAGUGGCAGAUAGGACCGCUAGACAUGUCAACGAUCAAUUCUCCCUUGCGGUCGAGAGAGUUGUUGACCAGGGUUGCAUCCUCGGCCACUCGAUAGAGUGGUAACUGGAGUUAAUGUCGCUUGUCCUGUCGUGCCGCACUCGACCACUUGCAGUUGGUGGUAGCUGGAGUUGUGAGCAGCAGGGACCCUCUUCGCUAUGUAGCUAGUUAGAUACUCAGCACCUGUCCAUCAAGUCACUCGAGAGAGUGGUGACCUUUGGGUGGUACAAUUGUCAUUGAUCCGGCCUCUCAACCAUACAGGGGUCGUGGUGCAGAGAGGUAGCAGUAGAUGAUUCAUGGAUGCUUGGAGAGAUGUCUGCUGCUAGUCCUGGGUCCUACGUCAGAUUCGAGGAUAGUUUUCUGUUUGGUUUUGUUAAUAUUUGGGUGGUAAGUUGAUUCUGUGAAUUUUGCUUUUCAAUAAGUCAAUGUGAAUUUUGGGGUCAAGUCUAGUGAUUGCAGGUAUUUUUGUUAGUGUCGUUGUUGGUUUUAUGUUCGUAUUGUUUUGUGUUUUUUGCUGCGUUUACGCUGUGAUGUGUUUACUUUUAACCAUGUAGGCUUAUUAAAUUGUGUGGUUGUGUUUA